CAAAUCGCAAAAGCCUGCCCCAGUUCGGAUUGGAGGCUGCAACUCGCCUCCAUGAAGUUGGAAUCGCUAGUAAUCGCGGAUCAGCAAUGCCGCGGUGAAUACGUUCCUGAGCCUUGUACACACCGCCCGUCAAGUCAUGGAAGCUGGUAGCGCCCGAAGUCGCCACGAUUCAGUGGUGCCCACGGCGAGACUGGUGACUGGGACUAAGUCGUAACAAGGUAGCCGUAGGGGAACCUGCGGCUGGAUCACCUCCUUU
rnacentral:rRNA from 1 species